UGGGGAAUAUUGCACAAUGGGGGAAACCCUGAUGCAGCGACGCUGCGUGAGCGAAGAAGGUUUCCGAAUCGUAAAGCUCCGUCCCAUGGGAAGAUAAUGACGGUACCAUAGGAGGAAGCCCCGGCUAACUACGUGCCAGCAGCCGCGGUAAUACGUAGGGGGCAAGCGUUGUCCGGAAUCACUGGGCGUAAAGGGUUCGCAGGCGGAAAUGCAAGUCAGUUGUGAAAGGCAGAGGCUCAACCUCUGUAAGCAAUUGAAACUGUAUUUCUUGAGAUGUGGGGAGGCAAGUGGAAUUCCUAGUGUAGCGGUGAAAUGCGUAGAUAUUAGGAAGAAUACCGGUGGCGAAGGCGACUUGCUGGACACAAACUGACGCUGAGGAACGAAAGCGUGGGUAGCAAACAGG
rnacentral:rRNA from 1 species